CGACACCUAAGUUUUCUGGAAAGGAAUGCCACAGAGGGUGAUAGCCCCGUACGGUGUUGACUCGAUACAGAGUCCUAACAUGGAGUCGAGUUGUUUGGGAAUGCAGCUCAAAUGGGUGGUAUGCUCCAUCUAAGGCUAAAUAUUUGCGAGAGACCGAUAGCGAACAAGUACUGUGAAGGAAAGAUGAAAAGAACUUUGAAAAGAGAGUGAAAUAGUACGUGAAAUUGUUGAAAUGGAAGGGUAGGCCGCUAACCAUGUAGGACCGUG
rnacentral:rRNA from 1 species